UGGGGGAUAUUGCACAAUGGAGGAAACUCUGAUGCAGCAACGCCGCGUGAAGGAAGAAGGCCUUCGGGUUGUAAACUUUUGUCCUUGGUGACGAAAAAAAUGACGGUAGCCAAGGAGGAAGCCACGGCUAACUACGUGCCAGCAGCCGCGGUAAUACGUAGGUGGCAAGCGUUGUCCGGAAUUACUGGGUGUAAAGGGUGCGUAGGCGGUUUUUAAAGUCAGAUGUGAAAUGCCGCAGCUUAACUGCGGAGCUGCAUUUGAAACUUAAAGACUUGAGUGAAGUAGAGGUAAGCGGAAUUCCUAGUGUAGCGGUGAAAUGCGUAGAUAUUAGGAGGAACACCAGUGGCGAAGGCGGCUUACUGGGCUUUAACUGACGCUGAAGCACGAAAGCAUGGGUAGCAAACAGG
rnacentral:rRNA from 1 species